rnacentral:misc_RNA from 1 species
AGGAAUGAGCCUGCUCGCGAUGGCGGUGUAUCAGCGAAAAAUAUGUGGCUGACACACCACCAUCGCGAGCAGGCUCACUCCU